AUUGAACGCUAGCGGGAUGCCUUACACAUGCAAGUCGAACGGCAGCACGGACUUCGGUCUGGUGGCGUGUGGCGAACGUGUGAGUAAUGUAUCGCAACGUGCCCAGUAGCGGGGGAUAACUACCCGAUAGCGUAGCUAAUACCGCAUACGCCCUACGGGGGAAAGCGGGGGAACGAAAGACCCCGCACUAUUGGACCGGCCGAUAUCGGAAUAGCUAGUGGGUGGGGCAAAGGCUCACCAAGGCGACGAUCCGUAGCUGGUUUGAGAGGACGACCAGCCACACUGGGACUGAGACACGGCCCAGACUCCUACGGGAGGCAGCAGUGGGGAAUUUUGGACAAUGGGGGCAACCCUGAUCCAGCCAUCCCGCGUGUGCGAUGAAGGCCUUCGGGUUGUAAAGCACUUUUGGCAGGAAAGAAACGGCGCCGGAUAAUACCUGGCGCAACUGACGGUACCUGCAGUAUAAGCACCGGCUAACUACGUGCCAGCCGCCGCCGUAAGAC
rnacentral:rRNA from 1 species